AGACCGAAAGGACUGGUGGAGCGCAUAGAAGAGACAAUCCCGGUAUGAGUAGCGAAAGACAAGUGACAAGCAUGUCCACCCAAACACAAAGGAAUCCUCAGGAAGGCUCGUCCGCUCAGGGUUAGUCGGGACCUAAGCCGAGGCUGAAAAGCGUAGGCGAUGGCCAACAGGUUGAUAUUCCUGUACCACCUCCCCGCCGUUUGAGUAAUGGGGGGACGCAGUAGGAUAGGGUAAGCGCGCUGCUGGAUAUGCGCGUUCAAGCAGUUAGGCUGAUGAGUAGGCAAAUCCGCUCAUCAUUAAGGCUGAGCUGUGAUGACGAGGGAAUUAUAGUACCGAAGUUCCUGAUUCCACACUGCCAAGAAAAGCCUCUAGCGAGGCGGGAGGUGCCCGUACCGCAAACCGACACAGGUAGGCGAGGAGAGAAUCCUAAGGUGAUCGAGAGAACUCUCGUUAAGGAACUCGGCAAAAUGACCCCGUAACUUCGGGAGAAGGGGUGCUCUGGUAGGGUGUAUAGCCCGAGAGAGCCGCAGUGAAUAGGCCCAGGCGACUGUUUAGCAAAAACACAGGUCUCUGCGAAGCCGCAAGGCGAAGUAUAGGG
rnacentral:rRNA from 2 species